UACGUAGGCACCAAGCGUUGUCCGGAUUUAUUGGGCGUAAAGAGCUCGUAGGCGGUUCGGUAAGUCGGGUGUGAAAACCUGCAGCUUAACUGUGGGCGUGCGGUCGAUACGGGCAUCACUGGAGUUCGGCAGGGGAGACUGGAAUUCCUGGUGUAGCGGUGAAAUGCGCAGAUAUCAGGAGGAACACCGGUGGCGAAGGCGGGUCUCUGGGCCGAUACUGACGCUGAGGAGCGAAAGCGUGGGGAGCGAACAGG
rnacentral:rRNA from 1 species